UACGUAGGGUGCAAGCGUUAUCCGGAAUCACUGGGCGUAAAGCGUGCGUAGGCGGAAGCUUAAGUGUGAUGUUAAAUCGUGUGGCUCAACCAUAUCGAUGCAUCACAUACUGGGUUUCUAGAGGACGGCAGAGGCAAGUGGAACUCGUAGUGUAGCAGUGAAAUGCGUAGAUAUUACGAAGAACACCAAUGGCGAAGGCAGCUUGCUGGGCCGCCCCUGACGCUGAGGCACGAAAGCGUGGGGGAGCGAACAGG
rnacentral:rRNA from 1 species